CUUUGGUAUUGGAGGUCUAUUGCAGCUUCACACCUGCUCCGUCUUUGUGCAUUAGUACUGGAUCUCAGUGUUAUGCUUGGUUCCACUCAGCGUAAGAUAAAUUGAGUUAUCUAUCGACUGAGUAGACAGCCUGUCUAAAAAGGGGUGGUCCAAGGUAAAAGCAGAUUCCCCGCUAGAAACAAUCCAUCUCACAGG
rnacentral:rRNA from 1 species